GGUAGGCCAGACGGUCGCGUGGGUAACCAUGAGGAAAGUCCGGGCUCCGCAGGGCGAGGAUGCCAGAUAACGUCUGGCGUAGGUAACUAUAGGGAAAGUGCAACAGAAACAUUCCGCCGAAACGAGUAAUGUCGUGGUAAGGUUGAAAUGGUGAGGUAAGAGCUCACCGGCAGCAUGGAGACAUGCUGGCCGUGUAAACCCCAUCCGGAGCAAGACCAAGAAAGGGCAAAAAAAGCGGCGGCCCGUCGCUGCCCGGUAGGUAGGUCGCAUGAACAUGCCGGCGACGGUAUGUCUAGAUAGAUGAUCGUCUAAUACAGAACCCGGCUUAUAGACCUGCCCGUC
rnacentral:RNase_P_RNA from 1 species